UACGUAGGGCGCAAGCGUUGUCCGGAAUUAUUGGGCGUAAAGAGCUCGUAGGCGGUUUGUCGCGUCUGCUGUGAAAACUCGGGGCUCAACUCCGAGCUUGCAGUCGAUACGGGCAGGCUAGAGUUCGGCAGGGGGAGAACUGGAAUUCCUGGUGUAGCGGUGAAAUGCGCAGAUAUCAGGAGGAACACCGGUGGCGAAGGCGGGUCUCUGGGCCGAUACUGACGCUGAGGAGCGAAAGCGUGGGGAGCGAACAGG
rnacentral:rRNA from 1 species